rnacentral:rRNA from 1 species
AUGAACGCUGGCGGCGUGCCUAAUACAUGCAAGUCGAGCGAACAGAUGAGGAGCUUGCUCCUCUGACGUUAGCGGCGGACGGGUGAGUAACACGUGGAUAACCUACCUAUAAGACUGGGAUAACUUCGGGAAACCGGAGCUAAUACCGGAUAAUAUAUUGAACCGCAUGGUUCAAUAGUGAAAGACGGUUUUGCUGUCACUUAUAGAUGGAUCCGCGCCGCAUUAGCUAGUUGGUAAGGUAACGGCUUACCAAGGCAACGAUGCGUAGCCGACCUGAGAGGGUGAUCGGCCACACUGGAACUAAGACACGGUCCAGACUCCUACGGGAGGCAGCAGUAGGGAAUCUUCCGCAAUGGGCGAAAGCCUGACGGAGCAACGCCGCGUGAGUGAUGAAGGUCUUCGGAUCGUAAAACUCUGUUAUUAGGGAAGAACAAAUGUGUAAGUAACUAUGCACGUCUUGACGGUACCUAAUCAGAAAGCCACGGCUAACUACGUG